rnacentral:rRNA from 1 species
AACUUAAAAGACCUGGCGGUACUCUAAAUAAACCUAGAGGGGCCUGUCUAGUAAUCGAUAAUCCNCNAAAAACCCAACCUCUUCUGGCCAAAUCAGCCUGUAUACCGCCGUCGAAAGCUAAUUUUUCAAGAAAUAUAAAGCUAAAAAGUACAGUUAACUAACACGUCAGGUCAAGGUGUAGCACAUGAAGAGGAUAAGAUUGGCCACAGUAUGGCACCCAACAAAACAACAAUGAAACGCGUAAUUACAAGAAUUUAGCAGUAAGAGAACAAAUGAAUGAUUCCCUGACCCAAUACCCCCUA